rnacentral:rRNA from 1 species
CCUGUGCGAGCUGCUACAGCAGCGAAGUUGGUGAUGUCAUGCUUCCAAGAAAAGCCCUAUACCCGUUAAGGCAUCAUGGCCUGUACCCGAAACCGACACAGGUGGGGUGGUAGAGAAUACCGAGGGGCGCGAGGUAACUCUCUCUAAGGAACUCGGCAAAAUGGCCCCGUAACUUCGGGAGAAGGGGUGCCACCGCAAGGUGGUCGCAGUCAAGAGGCCCAGGCGACUGUUUACCAAAAACACAGGUCUCCGCUAAGUCGCAAGACGAUGUAUGGGGGCUGACGCCUGCCCAGUGCCGGAAGGUUAAGGAAGCUGGUCAGCGCAAGCGAAGCUAGCGACUGAAGCCCCGGUGAACGGCGGCCGUAACUAUAACGGUCCUAAGGUAGCGAAAUUCCUUGUCGGGUAAGUUCCGACCCGCACGAAAGGCGUAACGAUCUGGGCGCUGUCUCGGAGAGAGGCUCGGCGAAAUAGAAUUGUCUGUGAAGAUGCGACUACGUGCACCCGGACAGAAAGACCCUAUGAAGCUUUACUGUAGCUUGGUAUUGUGCCCGGGCUCGCAAUGCGCAGGAUAGGUGGGAGGCUUUGAUCAUCGGCUUGCGGGUCGAUGUGAGCCAACGGUGAGAUACCACUCUUUGCGAGCUAGGGUUCUAACGGCCACCCGUCAUCCGGGGGCCGGACAGUACCUGGUGGGCAGUUUGACUGGGGCGGUCGCCUCCUAAAAGGUAACGGAGGCGCGCAAAGGUUUGCUCAGGCUGGUUGGAAAUCAGCCGACGAGUGUAAAAGCAGAAGCAAGCUUGACUGUGAGACCAACAAGUCGAACAGGGAGGAAACUCGGCUUUAGUGAUCCGACGGUUCUGAGUGGAAGGGCCGUCGCUCAACGGAUAAAAGUUACUCUAGGAUAACAGGCUGAUCUCCCCCAAGAGUUCACAUCGACGGGGAGGUUUGGCACCUCGAUGUCGGCUCAUCGCAACCUGGGGCUGAAGUCGGUCCCAAGGGUUGGGCUGUUCGCCCAUUAAAGCGGUACGCGAGCUGGGUUCAGAACGUCGUGAGACAGUUCGGUCCAUAUCCGGUGCACGCGCAGGAAUAUUGAGAGGAUUUCUCCCUAGUACGAGAGGACCGGGAGGAACGCACCUCUGGUGUACCAGUUAUCGUGCCAACGGUAAACGCUGGGUAGCCAUGUGCGGAGUGGAUAACCGCUGAAAGCAUCUAAGUGGGAAGCCCACCUCAAGAUGAGUAUUCCCAUGGCGUAAGCCAGUAAGGUCACGGGAAGAACACCCGUUGAUAGGCUCUAUGUGGAAGCGCAGUAAUGCGUGAAGCAGAGGAGUACUAAUAGACCGAGGGCUUGACC